rnacentral:rRNA from 1 species
AUUGAACGCUGGCGGCAGGCCUAACACAUGCAAGUCGAGCGGCAGCGGAAAGUAGCUUGCUACUUUGCCGGCGAGCGGCGGACGGGUGAGUAAUGUCCGGGAAACUGCCUGAUGGAGGGGGAUAACUACUGGAAACGGUAGCUAAUACCGCAUAACGUCGCAAGACCAAAGAGGGGGACCUUCGGGCCUCUUGCCAUCAGAUGUGCCCAGAUGGGAUUAGCUAGUAGGUGGGGUAACGGCUCACCUAGGCGACGAUCCCUAGCUGGGCUGAGAGGGUGAACAGCCACGCUGGAACUGAGACACGGUCCAGACUCCUACGGGAGGCAGCAGUGGGGAAUAUUGCACAAUGGGCGCAAGCCUGAUGCAUCCAUGCCGCGUGUAUGAAGAAGGCCUUCGGGUUGUAAAGUACUUUCAGCGGGGAGGAAGGUGUUGAGGUUAAUAACCUCAGCAAUUGACGUUACCCGCAGAAGAAGCACCGGCUAACUCCGUGCCAGCCGCCGCAGUAAAAC